AAUGUUUGAUGCCGUUGACUUUUUAGCACAUAUUUGACCGUUCGUUUUAUUCAAAAAAUUUAAGUAAUUAUUAAUUCUUUUUCUAUCAUUUGAUUCAUUGUUAAAUAUAUUUUUAUGUAGUGCAUAUAAUUUUACAUAUUUUACAAAAGUUUUUUGAAUAAAACGAACGGUCAAAUAUGUGCUAAAAAGUCAACGGUGUCAAACAUU
rnacentral:pre_miRNA from 1 species